GCCUGCACAAGUCCCUCCUAGAUCACAGGACAGUCCCGGGGGGGGGCCCCCUCCCAGAUUCCUCCCCUGUCAGGGCCUCAAGGGAGCACCAGCCGCACACGGAGAAUGUAAGGGGCUGGGAGAGACACCCUGUAGGUUGAGAUCCGGAGGGACAGAGAGUCAGGCCUAAAUGACCACGGUGGAGCGGGAGGGAGGGGCUCAGGCAGGGGCAGCACCCCAAAGGAGAGGACCUAGGGGAGCACAGUGAGCCAGAGAAGGCUGCAGGCCAGCAGCCUGUGAACUUUGAGUUUCCGCAGAAGAACAAGUGAUUUGGAACCUACUGGAGAGCCCCGUACUCCCAGGAACUGCUGUCCUAUACUGUCAUUUGCUCAGUCUGUCUGACUUUGUGUAGGACACACUCCCAGGAGGCUCCAUUCAGGUCCCAGAGUGACAAGAUGAGCAGGCCUCAGGGUCCUUGGCCUGACCCCAACCUGAACCCCUUCCCCAGCACCCUGUUGUGCUCCCUGGAUGGUUUCUGGAAUGCUCCAAAGAGGAGUCAGGCUCACAGGGCAAGCCUGCUGCCGAGUAUCAGGAAGUAUCAGGAGCGGGUGGCACUGACCUUGAACUCUCGGGGGCAUCUUGGAAACACACACAUGACUCGGCAACAGCCCCCAAGGAGGGUGAUCUCUGCUUGCUCCUUGGGACAGACUAUCUGCAUCGCUGGUCAUUGCAACUGCAGAAGGUGCUGGGGGUUCAGCUUGUGGGACGCAGGCUCUGGGUGAUGCUUUGUAGCCAGUGUGACAGGAAACGAACCGAACUCAGGCGAUAUAUAAAUGUAACAGGCGACCUCGCAGGUCCCGUGUGUCGCACCUGCAGGAAUGCUAGUGGGGUUCCAGGGAUCAAAAGAGAGAAAGAGGGAAAAAAGAGAGAAAGGUGUCCGACCUGCCUACAUAGACCCUGGGCUUCGUAUCCUCUUCCUGUCGGAGGACCGCAGCCAGCUGGACCCCUGGACUCCCCGGAGCUGGAUGCCCAUAGUCACCUUGACUGGGCCUCUCCUCCACGUUCUUGCUGUUUCUGCCUCCGGUGCUCUGGGUCGUGGAGUGUGGCCCACCGUGUGACCUGGGAGCUGGCAGCAGGUCUCUCCCAUCCCCAGCGUGGUAGACUUUAAGGACUGGAUCUGAGGCAGGCAGGAGCGAGCCUGACUGGCCACCAGGGUCUGUUCCUCGUGCCUCAUAGGACUGGGAGUGGCUCUUUGAACCCUCCCACCCCGCCCAGCAGUGAGGACGGGUCCUCUCAGGUCCCCCCACAGGGGAGGACACAGCCUCUGGGGGAGAAGUCACAGCCAGAGCCGGGAGGUGACCGUCGUGCUCUCCAUGCUCGGCCCGUGCGCCCCAACUCAGAGCCUGGCAAGCUGAGGAACGUCCGAAAUGGGGCACCAAGAUGUCUUUGUAAGCGUGGAGGUUUACGCGAUCCCACGAGCAAUAGCCGAAUCUCAGACACAAUGAUGAGAAGAAAAUAGGAGGGAGCUCCCUUCAGGGGAAGAGGAAGUCAUACAGGCUCCUAAGGAAACAACUACCUUUCAGAGAGGAAGCCCACUUGUCCUGUGUUUUCAGACAACUCACCACACACUCUCAGUCACUCCCGUGUCAAAUGAUCAGCCCACCCUUCACAUGCUUUCUUAGAAGUUUCCUUACAUAAGGAUUGACGUGACGCCAAGUGAGCCCCCAGUGCCCGCGCCCCGACUUAAGAAAUAGACACAGGACUGGCCGACUGGGCCCCGGGCCCCCGUUUCCUGCCCGCUGGGAGGUUCGGUAAAAUGGGUGUCCCCUGACCUCCAGCUCGGGGUUCAGGAGGGGCGAGGGAUUAAGGGAGGGUCGGGGCAGGACCUGGGAGGGGGCCGGCCUCUGGUCUGCAGGUGGUGGCCGUCCUGCCCUGGAAUCCAGGCGGGACCCACCUGGAGGCCNNNNNNNNNNNNNNNNNNNCUACACAGCCCCCCAGGUCUCAAUAUGUCAGAGGAGGAAGGCGAGCUCCUCAAAUCCGAGAGACGCCAUCAAUAUUCACAAGGGCCCGUGAGAUUCUGCGUGUGCACGAGCCCUGACCCACUUGAUCCAGCCAGUCCCCUAACGGAGCACACUUCGGGUCUUUCCAAAUGUUUGCUAUUCUCAAGAAAGCCCUGGCGCUGAGUUUUACAAAUGCUCUGGCAUUCUGGACAGAUGGUCAUUGGAAAUCCCCAAAGCAUUGCAAGCUGAGGCUCUGGUUCGCCUCGACAGAUUUCCCUGUGACACCCUGCUUGGAGCCCUCUCCCACUGAGGCCGUGAGAGGCGCCUGGUGACACCCCCGCCCCGGCUCUCCUGCAUUUGGGGCGUCCUGGCAGGGGAAGAACAGGACCACCCAGCGGCUUGGGAGAAGGUCAGCCCCAAGCCAUAUCCCGGCCACUAUUCUGGAACACAAUCCCUGAGUUACUGAGCUCACGUCACUCUGGAUGAAGGCCCCUCCUUCCACAGUUGGGCUCAGCCGAGUCACCCAGGUCGAGGCUCCCUUGCUGGCCACCUAGAGCUGCUUGCUCAAGGAGAAGGGGUUCAGGUUGGACCCAUGGGGUUGAUGUCCUGGGCUGAGGAGAAGCCCAGAGGGCGUGGGGACGGAGGAUCAGUGUCCUGGGAAGGGGGCCUGGGGACAGUCAUCACGUAGAGGGCCUGAGGGAUGGAAGGGGCAGCCCCUGGGUCUCAAGGGGUGACCGUGUUCCCAACUGCAACAGAGAAAAGCAUGAGAUGUGACCACAUGGACCAGCCGAAUUCGGGGCAGGGCUGCCCAGAGGCCACCGGCGAAGGCAACAAAAGCUUCCCGGGCUGGUCCCACGUGGCUGGAGACACAGAGAUGAAAAAGCCCCUGCCUGGACCCCGAAAAGCCCUCUGGACCUUCCUUUUUUUCACCCACCACCGUCCCCCCGGCCUCCAGGAAGGUUCCUGGAUGCCCCCAGAAGACUUUAUCUUCCAGGGAUAGGUGACGGGUGGCAACAAGCCUUCCCUAUGUUACCAUGUGGUGCGACAGGCCGGUGAUGCCUCCGUGUUUCACGAUGACCUCCCGCACAGCCAGGCCCCAGGCGGGGACAGGCCCAGACAGCCCGACAUGCAGGGACAAGAGUGAAGCCGUCGGUGGGCCUUUCUCAAUCAUACACCUGUCCUCCCAGCGCGUGGACUGUGAAGGUCCUGGCAGCAAGCAGGUGGCUGGGGACACCAAAGGUCGAAGCCGAGUCCUGAGGCAUCCCUUCAGCUGGGGUCCACAGGCAGAGCAGGGGGUGGGUCCGUGGGACGAAGAUAUGGGGUCACCUGGGUCCUCCCCUGUCUCCUCUAGGCUGCCAUCUCCUCGAGGGCAAGACAGUACCUAGCACAUCCUUGCAUGCCAGGUUCCUGCCGGGGUGGGACCCCGAGUAGGUGCUCCUGGGUGCUGCUGGAUGGCCGAGGGACACAGGGAAGGACUGAACCAGCCUUGCCUUCCCUGUGGGUGGGAGUAUCACCAUGUGGAAAUGUGGCAUACCUUCUUGGAGAACAUUCUGGCAAAGCCAGAAGCACACAGGCACUGCCGGGGCCCUGGCAGGUUCCCAGAGCCCUGGCUCUGAAGGUGACUUGAGCACAGAGCUCCCUGCCUGAGCCCUUUGUAGCCAAGACCCCCUCCAGUCCUCCCAGCAGAUGGGCAGGAGCUGGGACCGGGCACAGGCGGAGGUUGCCAGGGGUCAGUGGUCCUAUAGGGGCGGCGGGGGUGUCCAGCUAGCUCCCAGAGGGAGGAUUCCAGCCUGUGCUGAGCGUGAGGAUCAGGAUCCUGGUUAGGUGACCCUGGGGACAACUUCAGAGUCCCUGGAGGGCGAGGAGGCAGACAGGGGCAUGUGUGGUGGGGCGGCUUCUCUGUCCUACAGGGAAGCUGACUGUCUCCUCUCCCACCACAGAGCUCCCAGGAUGUGGGAGGACGCAGGCACCCCAGGGAGGCCGGGAGCCCUGGUGCCACGUGUGCACAGGUUCUGGGAGAGCCCGGGGGUGAGGAUGCCCUUGGCCCCUCUGCUCCUCUCUUUCCCAUCCUACCUGUUACUGGGUCUACCUCCCUUUGGGGCCGACCCUCCCUUGUGUAUAUUUUCCCUCUCCCCAGGCCUUUCCUGCCUCUUUCUGGCCCCUGUUCUUCCUUUGGCUUAGUUUUGCUGUUCCCAGUCCCUUGUCCCUCCCUUGUCUCCCUCCCUCCCUUGUGUGCCUUUCUCAGGCCAGGCUGGAGGUAGAGUGGGGAAUAGGGAGUGAGGAGGAGCCUCUGGGAGACCAGAGUUGGCCUUUGUACCUUGCCACAUGAUCCCCAGGUCUAUUUAAACCACGUUUCCUUCAUGUCCCUUAUGUUCCCUAUCACUGCUAUCUGCAAUUUCAUAGCAGAUAAUGAAUUAUUUUAUAAAAUUAUAGAGAAAAGCCAGAGAUAGUGACGUAAUGGUGCCUGCUCCUCUGCAGAGACAGCAUGGCCUUUCUAGGCAUUUCUGGGCAACCUGCUGUAGCCCCCACACAGACUCACCUGAGCCAGCUGGCCGCCCAAGCUUAACUUGGCUGUGGGGUGGUCCUCAGCACAUGAUCAUCACUUGUCCUAUUAUGAAUGGGAUCAUGUCUGUAGCAUUCUGGCGCCCCAGCUACAGCAGUGGCCAUGCCCCUUCUCUCACAGAGAUAUUCUGGUAAGGAGUAUGGUGGCAAGGGAUGGGGGUCCACCUGAAUACCGCAACAUACAAAUCUUUCAUCUAAAUGAGGAGUAAAUGACAGAGAAGUAGAUAGUUGGAUAGAUAAGGAGAUACAUAGACGGUAGGAAACAGAUAAGGAAAGAGUACAUCAAGGCUAAAGCCAAUGGGGAACAUGUUCACAAUAUGCAAAUUUGCAUGAGGAGCAUAUGGAUACUCUUUAUAUACAACUUUCUGUAAGUUCGGCAUAAAAUAAAACGUUUAAACAAAUAAAAAAAUUAAAUUAA
ensembl:lncRNA